AACGAACGCUGGUGGCAUGCCUAAUACAUGCAAGUCGAACGAGAAAGCUCUUCGGAGUGAGUACAGUGGCGCACGGGUGAGUAACGCGUAGGUAACAUGCCUUUUGGUGGGGGACAACAUCGGGAAACCGGUGCUAAUACCGCAUAAGCAAGUAAUUGGAAAGGUGGCCUUUGGCUAUCGCCGGAAGAUUGGCCUGCGUGACAUUAGCUUGAUGGUGGGGUAAUGGCCUACCAUGGCUACGAUGUCUAGCUGGUCUGAGAGGAUGAUCAGUCACACUGGAACUGAGACACGGUCCAG
rnacentral:rRNA from 1 species